rnacentral:rRNA from 1 species
GACGAACGCUGGCGGCGUGCCUAACACAUGCAAGUCGAACGGACAGGCCCUGCUUUUGUGCGGUGGUCGAGUGCCGAACGGGUGAGUAACACGUGAGUAACCUGCCCUUGACUUUGGGAUAACUUCAGGAAACUGGGGCUCAUACCGGAUAGGAUCUCCUGCAGCAUGGUGGGGGUUGGUGAGAUACGGCGGUAGUGGAUAGACUCGCUGCUUAUCAGCUUGUUGGUCGGGUAGUUGUUUACCAAGGCUUUGACGGGUAGGCGGCCUGAGAGGCUUACCGGGGACAUUGGGACUAAGAUAGGGCCCAGACUCGAACGUGAGGCAGCGGGGGAGAGUAUUGCAGAAUAAGGGGGAGCGUGAUGCAGCGGCGCCGGGUGCGGGAUGACGGCCUACGGGUUAUAAACCACUUUCGCAUGUGACGAGGAGUGAGUGACGGUAAUGGGUAAAGAAGCAACGGCUAACUACGUG